rnacentral:rRNA from 1 species
CUGGCGGCGUGCCUAACACAUGCAAGUCGAACGGGAAUCUUCGGAUUCUAGUGGCGGACGGGUGAGUAACGCGUAAGAAUCUAACUUCAGGACGGGGACAACAGUUGGAAACGACUGCUAAUACCCGAUGUGCCGCAAGGUGAAACCUAAUUGGCCUGGAGAAGAGCUUGCGUCUGAUUAGCUAGUUGGUGGGGUAAGAGCCUACCAAGGCGACGAUCAGUAGCUGGUCUGAGAGGAUGAGCAGCCACACUGGGACUGAGACACGGCCCAGACUCCUACGGGAGGCAGCAGUGGGGAAUUUUCCGCAAUGGGCGAAAGCCUGACGGAGCAACGCCGCGUGAGGGAGGAAGGUCUUUGGAUUGUAAACCUCUUUUCUCAAGGAAGAAGUUCUGACGGUACUUGAGGAAUCAGCCUCGGCUAACUCCGUGCCAGCAGCCGCGGUAAUACGGGGGAGGCAAGCGUUAUCCGGAAUUAUUGGGCGUAAAGCGUCCGCAGGUGGUCAGCCAAGUCUGCCGUCAAAUCAGGUUGCUUAACGACCUAAAGGCGGUGGAAACUGGCAGACUAGAGAGCAGUAGGGGUAGCAGGAAUUCCCAGUGUAGCGGUGAAAUGCGUAGAGAUUGGGAAGAACAUCGGUGGCGAAAGCGUGCUACUGGGCUGUAUCUGACACUCAGGGACGAAAGCUAGGGGAGCGAAAGGGAUUAGAUACCCCGGUAGUCUUAGCAGUAAACGAUGGGUACUA